AUGGUUAAGUUAGAAAGGGCGCACGGUGAAUGCCUUGGCACUAGGAGCCGAUGAAGGACGGGACUAACACCGAUAUGCUUCGGGGAGCUGUAAGUGAGCUUUGAUCCGGAGAUUUCCGAAUGGGGAAACCCACUGUUCGUAAUGGAACAGUAUCUUUAUCUGAAUACAUAGGAUAUUGAAGGCAGACCCGGGGAACUGAAACAUCUAAGUACCCGGAGGAAGAGAAAGCAAAUGCGAUUUCCUGAGUAGCGGCGAGCGAAACGGAAUUAGCCCAAACCAAGAGGCUUGCCUCUUGGGGUUGUAGGACACUCUAUACGGAGUUACAAAGGAACGAAGUAAAUGAAGCGACCUGGAAAGGUCCGUCGAAGAAGGUAACAACCCUGUAGUUGAAACUUCGUUCCCUCUUGAGUGGAUCCUGAGUACGGCGGAACACGUGAAAUUCCGUCGGAAGCUGGGAGGACCAUCUCCCAAGGCUAAAUACUACCUAGUGACCGAUAGUGAACCAGUACCGUGAGGGAAAGGUGAAAAGCACCCCGGAAGGGGAGUGAAAGAGAUCCUGAAACCGUGUGCCUACAAGUAGUCAGAGCCCGUUAACGGGUGAUGGCGUGCCUUUUGUAGAAUGAACCGGCGAGUUACGAUCCCAUGCAAGGUUAAGCUGAUAAGGCGGAGCCGUAGCGAAAGCGAGUCUGAAUAGGGCGUUUAGUAUGUGGUUGUAGACCCGAAACCAGGUGAUCUACCCAUGUCCAGGGUGAAGUUCAGGUAACACUGAAUGGAGGCCCGAACCCACGCACGUUGAAAAGUGCGGGGAUGAGGUGUGGGUAGCGGAGAAAUUCCAAUCGAACCUGGAGAUAGCUGGUUCUCUCCGAAAUAGCUUUAGGGCUAGCCUCAUGUUGUGAGAGUCUUGGAGGUAGAGCACUGAUUGGACUAGGGGCCCCCAACGGGUUACCGAAUUCAGUCAAACUCCGAAUGCCAAAGACUUAUCCAUGGGAGUCAGACUGCGAGUGAUAAGAUCCGUAGUCAAAAGGGAAACAGCCCAGACCACCAGCUAAGGUCCCCAAGUAUACGUUAAGUGGAAAAGGAUGUGGAGUUGCUUAGACAACCAGGAUGUUGGCUUAGAAGCAGCCACCAUUUAAAGAGUGCGUAAUAGCUCACUGGUCGAGUGACUCUGCGCCGAAAAUGUACCGGGGCUAAACGUAUCACCGAAGCUGUGGAUUGACAUCUUAGAUGUCAGUGGUAGGAGAGCGUUCUAAGUGCUGUGAAGUCAGACCGUAAGGACUGGUGGAGCGCUUAGAAGUGAGAAUGCCGGUAUGAGUAGCGAAAGACAAGUGAGAAUCUUGUCCACCGAAUGCCUAAGGUUUCCUGAGGAAGGCUCGUCCGCUCAGGGUUAGUCGGGACCUAAGCCGAGGCUGAAAAGCGUAGGCGAUGGCCAACAGGUUGAUAUUCCUGUACCACCUCCCCGCCGUUUGAGUAAUGGGGGGACGCAGUAGGAUAGGGUAAGCGCGCUGCUGGAUAUGCGCGUUCAAGCAGUUAGGCUGAUGAGUAGGCAAAUCCGCUCAUCAUAAAGGCUGAGCUGUGAUGACGAGGGAAUUAUAGUACCGAAGUUCCUGAUUCCACACUGCCAAGAAAAGCCUCUAGCGAGGCGGGAGGUGCCCGUACCGCAAACCGACACAGGUAGGCGAGGAGAGAAUCCUAAGGUGAUCGAGAGAACUCUCGUUAAGGAACUCGGCAAAAUGACCCCGUAACUUCGGGAGAAGGGGUGCUCUGGUAGGGUGUAUAGCCCGAGAGAGCCGCAGUGAAUAGGCCCAGGCGACUGUUUAGCAAAAACACAGGUCUCUGCGAAGCCGCAAGGCGAAGUAUAGGGGCUGACGCCUGCCCGGUGCUGGAAGGUUAAGAGGAGGGGUUAUCCUUUGGGAGAAGCUCUGAAUCGAAGCCCCAGUAAACGGCGGCCGUAACUAUAACGGUCCUAAGGUAGCGAAAUUCCUUGUCGGGUAAGUUCCGACCCGCACGAAAGGCGUAACGAUCUGGGCACUGUCUCAACGAGAGACUCGGUGAAAUUAUAGUACCUGUGAAGAUGCAGGUUACCCGCGACAGGACGGAAAGACCCCGUGGAGCUUUACUGUAGCCUGAUAUUGAAUUUUGGUACAGCUUGUACAGGAUAGGUAGGAGCCUGAGAAGCCGGAGCGCUAGCUUCGGUGGAGGCGUCGGUGGGAUACUACCCUGGCUGUAUUGAAAUUCUAACCCGCGGCCCUGAUCGGGCCGGGAGACAGUGUCAGGUGGGCAGUUUGACUGGGGCGGUCGCCUCCUAAAAUGUAACGGAGGCGCCCAAAGGUUCCCUCAGAAUGGUUGGAAAUCAUUCGUAGAGUGUAAAGGCACAAGGGAGCUUGACUGCGAGACCUACAAGUCGAGCAGGGACGAAAGUCGGGCUUAGUGAUCCGGUGGUUCCGCAUGGAAGGGCCAUCGCUCAACGGAUAAAAGCUACCCCGGGGAUAACAGGCUUAUCUCCCCCAAGAGUCCACAUCGACGGGGAGGUUUGGCACCUCGAUGUCGGCUCAUCGCAUCCUGGGGCUGUAGUCGGUCCCAAGGGUUGGGCUGUUCGCCCAUUAAAGCGGUACGCGAGCUGGGUUCAGAACGUCGUGAGACAGUUCGGUCCCUAUCCGUCGUGGGCGUAGGAAAUUUGAGAGGAGCUGUCCUUAGUACGAGAGGACCGGGAUGGACACACCGCUGGUGUACCAGUUGUCUUGCCAAAGGCAUCGCUGGGUAGCUAUGUGUGGACGGGAUAAGUGCUGAAAGCAUCUAAGCAUGAAGCCCCCCUCAAGAUGAGAUUUCCCAUAGCGCAAGCUAGUAAGAUCCCUGAAAGAUGAUCAGGUUGAUAGGUCAGAGGUGGAAGCGUGGCGACAUGUGUAGCUGACUGAUACUAAUCGAUCGAGGACUUAACCAAAUUUUA
rnacentral:rRNA from 2 species